rnacentral:lncRNA from 10 species
CGAAGAUCAGGAACAAAGGGCAUCUCCUAGGUGCUGAGAGAGAGCUUCCCAGAAGCAGACAUUGAACUUGACUCUCCAGAGGACUUCUUAUGGCUAGCUGGAGGAAGGAUGGCUUUUCUCUGAGAAAUGGAAUGAAUUAAAGCUCAUUUGGGAAAGUUUGCUAAGAAUGGGUUGCAAGGGUGGUGAAGCGUCUCAACACGGUUGCUUGAGAUUCCUGAUAGCAUGGUGGCUAGAUCCCAAAAAGGAGUGCUCCAAGAAGUAAAGUUCCCCAGUAACCAGCAAGAAGCAGAACUUCCAUUCUUAUGCUGUAACAACAAAGUGGCACUUCAACCAUCUGUCUCCUUCCCCUCUGUGUCAGUGGGGCCCAACAGGGAUCUGAGCUUACACUUCAACUUAAAAGCAAAGAUGAUUCACCUCAGACCAGCCUGGGCAACACGAUUCACCAUUACCUUUGGGGGCAUGUUUAAAAGAGAUGCUUUCAUGUCCAAGUCUGGAAAUCCCAGCAUCUGUCCUGUCUUCAGGUUUCAUUUGUAAUUCUCUUUCUGGUUUCAUAGAGUGAAAGAUACAUUCUAUGAAUGUAAGAAGCAUGGUAAACAAAUGGCAUCAGACAAUACUUACUGGUGAUUGAAGAAACUGCCCAUGGGAUCAUAACAGAAGCCCCGGUGAUAGUCUUCUCAGAUUGAACCACAGCACUAAUGGAGAUUACCAAAAUUUAUAGGAUAAGAUUACUGAAAUUUCUAUGUUGUUUUAUCCCAUUGAAAUCAAUGGAAAGCAAAGGACAGGAAAGAGCCAAACAGACAAUUUUCCCCUCUCAUCUCUAUGAUAUGGUCCCUCCUUACAGUUCUUCUGGAAAAGUCCAGAGUGCCAAGCAAAUAUACUGACUCUGGGGUCCUGCUGUGCUGCAUCGUGGCUCAUUGUGAACCAGUGGUCAAUCCAGGAGGCCAUCUCCAUAGAUACUUUGCAUCAUUUCCUUUCCCUCCCCUUCACCACUGGGGACUUACACUUCCCAAAUAAAAUAUCAACAAUUCAAUCCAUAUCCCUGCAUUCUAGACGCUUAGCACACUCCCAUGACCCACAUGCUGGUGAGGAUGUUGAGUUCAUGUGAAGCCUUGGUAAUUUUGGUUGGAAACAUGUUUCUAGAAUCAAGGCAAUGUGGUUUGGUCAAAUUCAGAUGAGAUUGUGGAGCCGCGUGUCCUAGAUUCCAGCUUUGGCUCUAGACCUUAUAAACCAACCCUGUGGCCUUUUAUCUCUCUCAUCAGUCUAAUGGAAAUCAUAUUACCUGCCUUCCUUAUCUGGAAAUGUCAUCAUCAGGAUCAAGAGAGAUAAGGUUUGAGAAAGUAAUGUGUAAGCCAUUAAGUAGUACACAGAUGACCAUUACUGCUGUCAAACAGGAAUUUGAUGCAAUGAACUCUGUUCCCCUUUUCUGUCAAUACAAGUUCAGUGUUAAACAUUUAUACAGUUGUGAAAACUUCAAGUAAGUUGCGUGUGUUUUUUGGCUUUUAUACAAAUGAUAUUUUACCAGAGCAGUGGUCAAAAAACUAUGACCCACAGGUGAAAUUCUAAAGGCAGUCCUUUUUGUAAACAAAGUUUUAUUGGAACUCAGCCAUGUGCAUUUCUUUACAUAUUGCCACAGCCACUUUCACACUACCAGGGCAGAGUUGAGUAUUUUCAGUUGUGACAGAGACUGUCUGGCCCAAAAGCUGAAAAUAUUUACUAUUUGGCCCUUCAUAGAAAACGUUUGCCAAUGCCUCUGCUAGAGGAAAUGCUAGAUACUGUGUCCCUUUCAGUUAACACUAUAUAUGAGAGCUAUGGUCUUCAAAUUUUAUGUCUGCAACAUAAUCCACUGGGGUCAACAAAAAAAUAUUUUCAUUUUUAUUUUUCAUCUCAUUCUUUUUUAUUUUCAUCUAGUAUAUACUUUAGAAGGUAUAAAAUAUACUAGUAUGAUUGAACAUGUAUAUAAUUUAUAAAUAAAACACACAUAAAUAAUUAUAUUACAGUUACAUGUGUCACUAAAUGUGUACAAUUUAGCCAUGUUACUCCAUAUGGAUCUAGCUGUUUUGCCUGAACGCUUUGCAUGGAGCUGCAUUAUUUGAAUUCACCAUAGUGUAAGUAUCAAUUCCCCUUCCAGUAAUAUUUGGGCCACUCCCAGUCUUCAGCAUUGCAAACAAUGAUGCAGUGAACACGCAUGAUUUGCUUUUGUCCAGACUCAUGGCUACUUGAUAAAGCCUGGUGAUAGGAACUCAUUCUGACCUUGUCCAGGUUGGAGAACUGCAUACAGCUAGUCAAAUGCAGACCCAGACACAAUUGGGCCAUUGCUACAUUAUUCUUGGCUGACUGCAGAUGUGCUUUAUCUGCCUUGAUGACAAAUGCAUUACACUGAACAUUUUCAUGUGUUUCAGAAGACAAAGGGGAAAAAAGGUCUCAAAGAUUUCAAACACAUAGAAAUCUAUAGGAAGGAAAAACAAACUAAUCUGAGGUGCCUCUGACUCUCCCUACUUCUUCCCUGUCUCCAUUGUUCUCUGGCAUCAGCAAAACCUUCUCCCUGGCACUUUGCAGGGAGAACUCCCCUCACCCCUUUCCAGCCCACCCAUGGUGGCUGACUUUUGUGCCCUCGAAUUUGACUAUACCUUUUCCUGCCUUGUGUAUCUUAGAUUUUAAUGCAACAUUCUGGAAGAUCUUAGAACCUGUACUCUGAUCUGAAUUAUUAAAGCAGGUCAGUGCUUAUGCACUUAGAAGUAAUAUUUUUCUUCAAACAUCCUCUGUGAUAUGGAAAAAGGUAAUAUUGCAACCAAGAGUUGCUUGCAUAGAUGGACAUUCCUUUCAUUCCCUCUUUUGUUCAUUUUUUGGCAGUUUCUUCAUUCUCUCUCUCUCUCUCUCUCUCUCUCUCUCUCUCCAGUAAUAUUUACUGGGCUCUGAGACAAGGAGAAGUCUAUGACCUGUAGGAAUUGAUUGAACUGAUUCACAUCAACUAUAUAAACAUCGUUUUUUCCUUCUUGGCUUUUCAGUUUUAGGUUGAUUUGACCAAAGUCAUUUCCAUCCUUAGCAUUGAAAGUGAAAUGCUGAUUUGACCUGCAGGGCCAAUGCUUUAGCCACCAAGAAACUGUAAGCUCCAUAAGGGCUUGUUUUAGUCAUUAUUGGAACCCUAUACAUAGCACAUAGAUGUCCAACAAUAUUCACUAAAUGGAUGAAUAAAUGAAUGACCAAGGACUGAGGUGCAAGGUAGCUAUAACCCAGCACUUGGGGCCAUUCAGAUUCAGUGUAUAGGAGGAUUCCUAAGUGAGAGAUUCCUCAACCAAAAAACUUGGGCACUAGAGUGUGAAGAGAUUGGAGGAUCAUCCUUCAUUGAUCAGAUUAUAUCUUUGAUGUUGAGUUGCUAAAAUGAUGGGAUAGUUUUUACACACAGCGUUUACUUGAGAAUUAAAUUGAAAAUAAGAAGAGCCAUCUUGGUGUUUUGAUUCAAAACAUGAGCAUUAGAGUCCAAAGUUCUCCCAUUUACACUGAGUCUUUAGGCAUGACCCUUUACUAUUUGAGCUUCAGUUUGCUCAUCUAUAAAACAAACAAAAACAAUGUUUAUAGGUUGUUUGUGAUGAUUAAAUAAAACGAUUAUUGCACUCUUGGAUGAUGAAACAGACUGUAAAUGUAAAAGAGAAUGUGAAUUCCUUUCUCCGUUUUUUCCUCUUUUCCUUUUACCCAAGAUGAUUUGGUUAUUGGAAUGUUGAAAAGUCUUUAAAGGAUGGCACAGACUUAAAUGACUGUUAUAGAGCUAAGUUUUGAUAUAUUUGGCUCAGGAGAUUUUGAACUAAAAACAUGGCAGUUUUAGCAUGGAUGAUGAGAAAUUUCUAAGAGCGAGAUUAUUUUGCUUGUUAAAAAGAAUUGAGCUUCUCUUCAUGAUGUUACCUUCAUAGAUCCAUAUGUUGAAGACCUAAACCCAGUUACCUGUGAAUGUGACCUUAUUUAGAAAUGAGGCCUUUGCUGCUAUAAUCCAGUUACGAUUAGGUCAUACUGGAUUAGGGUGGCCCUAAAUCCAAGGAGAAGUGUCCUUAGAUUGAGACUUGGUGACACAGAGAUGCUCAGGGAGAUGACCAUGUGAAAACAGAGGCAGAACUGGUUACACUGCCACACCCAAGGAACACCUGGGGUUACUAAAAGCUGAAAAGGGGGAGACUCUAGUCUUUAGAGAAAGUAUGAUCCUGCCACUACAUUGAUUUUGGACUUGUAGCCAACAGAACCAUCAGAUAAAAAAUUCCUGUUGUUUCAAGCCACCCAGUGUGCUGUACUUUGUAACCGAAGCCCUAAGAAACUAAUACAAUGCAGUACAUAAAGUAUUCAUAAUUUUAUAAACGUUUAACACUUGUGUUGAAAGAAAAGGGCAACAGAGUUCAUUGCACCAAAUUCCUGUUUGACAGCAGUAAUGAUCAUCUGUGUACUACUUAAUGGCUUACACAUUACUUUCUCAAACCUUAUCUCUCUUGAUCCUGAUGAUGACAUUUCCAGAUAAGGAAGGCAGGUAAUAUGAUUUCCAUUAGACUGAUGAGAGAGAUUAAAGGCCACAGGGUUGGUUUAUAAGGUCUAGAGCCAAAGCUGGAAUCUAGGACACGCGGCUCCACAAUCUCAUCUGAAUUUGACCAAACCACAUUGCCUUGAUUCUAGAAACAUGUUUCCAACCAAAAUUACCAAGGCUUCACAUGAACUCAACAUCCUCACCAGCAUGUGUGUCAUGGGGGUGUGCUAAGGGUCUAGAAGGCAGGGAUAUGGAUUGAAGUGCUGAUAUUAUAUUUGGGAGUGCAAGCCCCCAGUGGCAAAGGGGAGGGAAAGGAAAUGAUGCACCAUUGACAAAGAUGAGUCCCUGGAUUGACCACUGGUUCACAAUGAGCCACGAUGCAGCACAGCAGGACCCCAGAGUCAGUAUAUUUGCUUGGCACUCUGGACUUUUCUAGAAGGACUGCAAGGAGGAACCACAUCAUGGAGAAGAGAGGGGGAAAUUGUCUGUCUGACUCCUUCCUGGUCCUUGCUCCUAAUUGGUUAAUGUUCACUCCAUGAUGAACUGACUCUUCUUCCAUCCACUUCCUGGUGACCUCAGCUGCCCUCUGCAGCUAUAAAUAUACCUUUCAGAGUGAGGAGAGAGGGUUGUACUGCUUAUGUAUGCUCAACUUAGUGAUAGGAUUUUUUAUUAGAGGAUUUUUCUCCUCCCUGUCCACUAAAAUGAUUUUGCAGAAAUGAUAAGAAAAUCGACCACAGUUCUCUGAGAGCCUCAUGUUCACAAGGAAGAUGGAAAAAAAGAAAUGUUUUUGAGUCUCUGGCCAAAGACAGCGAACAAUCAAGAGCCACUCACAUGUUAAGAGUUUGUGGGCCCUCUGCUAAGUGUCCAACAUGCAUUCUCUCAUUGUCAUCACUAUUAUGAAAUAGGCACCUGAAUUUUCUAGAUGAGUAACUGAGGCUUCGAGAUGAGUAAUUUGAGAAAACUAACUGAAGGAAUAUGUUGUCGAGCUCAAAAGUUGUGCCCAGCUUAUCUGCCAUCAAAAUCAGAGUUCAUAAACAUAGUAUUAUACUACCUGAUAAUUAUCAUAUUUCAUUGUAUCUAAGACCUCACUGAUUAAAGGGAAACCAGUAUGUUAUGUAGGAUUAAGACACUUAAAGAAAAAGACUGCCAAUUACAUAGGCUCACUGCUUUCUUAUCACUCAGAACUUUUACUUUUUGCCUCAUAAAACAUUUAUUUUAAACACAUUUGGACACACUUUUAUUAGAAAGGUGAAAUAUAAAUGAAAUAAAUGUGUUGGGAUAUUCCUAAAACCUUGACUUUUUACCUAUUAAAAUUUAGUUAAAACUUAUUUAGACACAUCUUUGUAGAAAAAGAAAUAAAAGUGAAAUUCAUUUGUUGGGACAUUCUUAAAACACCUGCACUUUUGAAUACUGUUUCACCUGGGUUGUCAGUGUCUGCAAGUUCGCUACCACUAAGCACCUUGGUGAUGAACUGUAGGAGAAUUUGCUAUUGUCUCAGAAUUUUUUUUUGCAAGCCAUUGCAAGCCAUUCUGCACAUGUCGAUGCCCAUAUGCAGACAGUGACAACUCCCUCAUGACUGACACCUGGCCAACAGUGAUUAUGAUAUGCAUUCCAAUUUCCGGGAGGUGAAAAGGUGAAAAUACUCAUUGUAGAAUCUAUGAAGUAUAGAAAUUUUAUCCCUGGUCAUAAUGUCGAUGUUAACUUCCAUUUAGAAUUAAAUGUUUUCCUCUCAUAACCUGGGGGAUUUCUGCUAGCUGUAUAGGCUUCUUUGGGGGAAAUAAUGUAGAACAUUUUCCUAUUGUUGGUUUCAGUAAUCCCAGCCACAGCAUUAAUGAAUUGGAUUAUUGCAUAGGCAAACUCAACUCCCUCCAUUCUUUGCAAGUUAUGAGAUUUAACUGUGUUUGAGAAAGUUUCUGGCAAAAACUCCUGGGCUUUUAACUUAUGUGGAGUUUUAAGUACAAUUCAUCAUCUUAUCUAAUCUGAUAUCCAAGGAUAGCUUUGUCAAAGCAGAGUCAAGUAUUGGCAAUCCCUCAGAAAUCUCUGAAGAAUGAAUAAAAGAAAAAUGAUUUAAAGCUGAACGCUUUAAGUAGGAGUUUGAAAUCUUGUUAAAAACUGAACAACGGACCCCUUCUUGAGUCUGCUAAUGCCAGCUUUGGAAUAUGAAUAGAAAACCAAACUCUGAGAGAAGAGAUGGAUCUUGGAUAUCAUCAUGUCUACUGUAAGAAGUGUAUCCAGCUCCAUCCUGGGCAGAUAAUAAUAGAAUGUGUUGAUUCCAUGGGAGAUUUCACACAAGAACGAACAAAUUCUCUAACCUGUGGUAACCUGCUCAGUGCCUCCCUUCCUCCAUAGAAAAUGAUCCCAGAUUUUGGUUGGUAUUAUUUAUAUUUGACCUUGGAAGAUAUGGAGGAAUACAACAUUGUCCCACAUGUAGCAAAGGCAUUGCAUAGUGUGAGGGUUAAAAGUAUGGGUUCAGACCCAGGUUUGAAUCUCAACUUUGGUGCUUAUUAGCUGUUUGACCCUGGGGAAAUUCUGUAACCUUUCUGUGCCUUUGUUUUCUCAUAUGUAUAGUGGAGAAAAUAGCUGUGUCAAUUGAAUGGUAUAGUUUUGAGGACUGAAUGUUAACAGUUGUUAAGCCCUACCUCAUAGGAGGUGAACCUGAUAGGUAACUUUUUUCUUUUUCUUUUCUUUUUUUUUGAGACGGAAUUUCGUUCUUGUUUCCCAGGCUGGAGUGGAGAGGCAUGGUCUUAGUUCACUACAACCUCAGCUUCCUCCAUUCAAGCCAUUCUCCUGCCUCAGCCUCCUGAGUAGCUGGGAUUAUAGGCGCAUACCACCACACCCGGCUAAUUUUUUAUUUUUUUAGUAGAGACAGGGUUUCAUCAUGUUGGCCAGGCUGGUCUUGAACUCUUGACCUCGGAUGAUCCACUAUCCACCCACCUCAGCCUCCCAAAGUGCUGGAUAGGUACUUUUUAAAUAAAACAAAAGUAACAACUGCUCUCAUUAAUUCAAGUUCUAUAUAAACUAAAUUGGGGUCCUUUAUUAUGUUACAUACACAUUGCUUUCUUCAGUUUCUAAAGAAGAACAGUGAAUUGGCAUCACUGGACUAUUUUUCCUUCUUUUGGACUAUUCUUCCUUCAGAUGUUAUCUACCUCAGAAGAUAUAAUUACAUGUUUUUCCUAAAUUCUGAUACAUGGAAAUGAGAAUUUUUCUUCUUUAAAAUAAGUCAGUACAAUUAUAGUGGCCAUUCCAGUUGCCUAACUGAUAUUUUAAUUGAAAACAUAAGUCACAUCCAAGGAAACAACACAUUCACUCACUGAAUAUGGAAUGAGGGUCCAUCAAUAAAUAGAUAACAUGUAUAUGAAUACAAUAUGUAUAUUUGAUUUUCUUUUUGGUUGACUUUGAGUUUGUGCUUCUUACUCCAUCAGGACAGAGAGAACUUGCAGGGUCUUCUGGCAAAGGCAACUUGGACAUUGCAUUAAAAAAGAAAAAAAUACCGAGCACCAAAGUCUGAGCUCUUUACCACAGGACUUAAAGCUCUUCCCUGCAAUGCUCUGUUAUUAGUGGGACUCAGCCCCACCCCAAGGGUUACUUCCCUCUAUCCUGUUAUCUUUCUGCAAAGUCCUUUUUAGAUUUGGAUUUCUGAUGGAGAGAAUCUGUAUGCCCAGAAUGCUUUUCUUUCAGUCAAGCUGCAUAUUAGGCCUUCAGCCAGCCUUGCCCCAACCAUAGAUAGCCCCUCGUGGGAACCACCCAGUGCUGGCCCCAUGACCAGGGCAUGAACAGAGGCCAUGUAUGCAUUGAUUGGAGCAUAAAAGGCAAAAUUUCCUAUAGUAGCAAGCAGAUUGACGUGUCUGGUGCGGAUCCUCUGUGCCUCCUUUACUCGUUCAUGUAGGCAAAAUUGAGCAAGUCAUGAUGAGCACAUUUCUUUAUUCUAGAAGUUUCCUAUUCUCAACUCAGAAUUUUCAACCUAGAUUUGCAGUAGAAUAUGGUCUCCAUCAGAGCAAGGACACCAUGGGACUGAGUCAGCCCUCUUUACCUCCGUAUCCCCAGUGCCUUUCACAUUGCCCAUGAAGGACCCUCACUCCAUAUUUAAUGAAUGACUGUGUUGUUUCUCUGAAUGUGACUUAUGUUUUCAACAAAAAUAUUGAUUAUGAAACCGGAGUGGCCACCGUAAUUGUACUGAUUUAGUUUAAGGAAAGAAAGAAUAAAAGGGAAGUGAAGGUUGCAGUGAGCCGAGGUCGCACCACUGCACUCCAGCCUGGGUGACAGAGUGAGACUCUGUCUCAAAAAAAGAAAAAAAAAGAGGGGGGGAAGUGAAAUGGAGGAAGAAAAGGGAAAAGGAAAGGAAGAAAUAAAGGCCCCAGUUUCUUUAGAGUUGGGAAUGACUUCCUACUUGUUUAAAUGGUUGGCUGUGGUCUGGACCACACUUACGUGCUGAGUCGUCUAACACCUCGACCUACCUAGUAACUGCCAAGAAAUUCAUGCUAGUUGGAAAAUCCAUUGGAUUAUAAAUGCAAAUGAGUAUCCAAAGUGUUCUUGUUUUUUUCCUCUUUUAAAAAAGUUUAAUAGUAAUGAUUGCCUAUCAAAAAUCUUUUACCUCAAACAAUAAAAAUUGCAACAAAAUGAAAAUCUCCUUUUUGCUUCUUGCCUCAUACUCUCUCUCAGUUCUUUAAUGUAGCCUCUGUUAAUAGGUUGGUAUGUGUGGUUCCAGUAUAUUCUUCUAAAAUAGAACACAAAUAUAGGGGUGUGUGUGUGCAUUACAGAUUUACAAGAAUCUGACAUGUUUAUUAAGCAUAGAUCUCAGAACACACACUCAAAGGAUACAUUUCUUUUUUUUCAAUAAGUGAACAUGAUUUGCCAGUGAACAGGAAACUCAAUCACUGAAUAUGGAGUGAGGGUCCAUCAUGAAAUGUCCCCCAGCUCCCAAGAGUUCUACCAAGGCCAAAAGGUCUUAUGAGGCAUUCAUAAGAUAUUUUCCAUGAUGAUUUACAUCAUGGAAACUCCUGGGGUCUUUUCUUUACCCAGGUUCCUGCUGAGAUGUCCAUGGUCUCUGUUUAUACGGUCCUUUCCAGAAAGUCUUGAGAAAGCCUUUCUUGGUGGUGAGGACACAUGAGUGGGCAAAAGGAAUGGUGAUAUGUCAUCUAAAAAGGCAUUACAUCCUACAUGUAUUUAUAUUGUUUCAGGAGAACCAGAAAUGAGCAUAUCACAGCACAUAUCAGUAUAAAAACUAAUUACAGUGAACCUAGAAAACUAUCCUCAUACUAACUAUGAAGUUACAUUGGUCAUUUUAUCAUUUCUUUUGGAUAGUGAAGUAAUAGAUUUCAAUAAGCACAAGGAGAAAGCUGAAUAAGCCUCGUAUCUGGUUCAGGAUCCAUGUGUAUGAAGCUCUUUGCUAAUGAAUGAAUCCUUUUUAGUGGUGCUCAGAACUAAGCUGCAUAAUUCAAUAUAGGCACAAAAAUAUCCAACAUGGAGUGAAUCAUUACUUGAAUUGUGAGAAGGCACUGUCUGCCUUGUAGAGUGACUUCUAGAGUCUCCUCAUUAUGCUUUCUCUCCCUUUCCUCAUUACUUCACAGGUGUACUGAUUAGGUUUGCACCUUUCUAUUUUCUUUUCCUUCUGUUUGUUCCACUCUUUGUCCAUAUUUUCCUAACUGCAGCAGAUGUUCAGUCCACCCCUUUGCAAGGGAUGAAAUUUCUUAAUGAAACAAUUGUUGAUAAGGACCCGGGCUCUUCACACACUGUCAAUAACUGUCUUUGAAAUUUAAAGGAGAAGCAUGAACCUUGUGAGCUUGGAUGAGACAACUCGCUUUGCAAUUUAAGCUGAUUGGUUUGAACAAUGUGUUUGAGGCACUGAAGGAGGGGGUAGCUUGAUUCAUUUCACAUCACAUACUCAACUCGAGUUCCAUCCAAUUUCUGGGUCUUCAGCUAAGUCAAGGAACUUUUAGAGAUCCAGGACUUACAAAGUACAUGUGCAGUCCAGGAACAUUCAUCAUGUUAUCUUAUCUGAUAGUGCUGCUUCCCCUUCUGUUCACCAAAAUAGAAAAGUCAGUGCAUGUGGGUGAUGUGCCCUUGGUACUGCAGUAUAAGACAUUUGGUCAAGUUGACAGGCACUGUUGGGUGUGAGAAGUCAGUUUUAUCUUUCAGCUUCUAACAUUUCUAUCAGUUGAAAGUGCAGCUGCAAUCUGAAAUCUCAAUAUCCAUUUAGGUAACAUGUCCACCUCUAAAAUUUGUAUUACAGUAACUAAUAAACCUGGAUAUCAAUUAAAUUCUGUGCUAAGGGUCAAGGAGGAAAAGGCAAGACAUUGGAAUGCUUCAUCUCUUGAGUGUAUCAUCCUGGUGGCUCUUUAUAAUUAUCAACUCCAAUCUUUUCCUUGAUCAUAGAUGUAAGGUUAUGGAAUUCUGACACAUUUGUAGCCUGUGGAACUCUUAUUUGACAUAUAAAACUCCCUAUAUUUAAUGUAUACACCAUAGCCAGUUUGGGGAUAAUUAUACACCUAUGAAACCUGUAUUAGUCUGUUCUCGUGCUGCUAAUAAAGACAUACCCAAGACUGUGUAAUUUACAAAGAAAAAGAGGUUUAAUGGACUCACAGUUCCACACGGCUGGGGAGGCCUCACAAUCAUGGCAAAAAGCAAAGGAGGAGCAAAGGCAAGUCUUCAUGGCGGCAGGCAAGAGAGCAUGUGCAGGGGAGCUGCCCUUUUAUAAAAUCAUCAGAUCUCAUGAGACUUAUUCACUAUCAUGAGAACAGCACAGGAAAAACCCACCCCCAUGAUUCAAUUACCUCCCACAGGGUCCCUUCCAUGACAUGUGGGGAUUAUGAGAGCUAUAAUUCAAGGUGAGAUUUGGGUGGGGGCACAGCCAAACCAUAUCAAAUCCAUUACCACCUUUAAAGCCAUAGACCGAUCCAUCACCUCUCAAAGUUUUCUCCCACCUCAGCUUGUGGUGCUUUCUUUCUUUUUUCUUUUAUAAUUUCAACUUUUAUUUUAGAUUCUGGGGAUACAAGUGCAGGUUUCUUACAUGGGCAUAUUUUGGGUAUGAAUGAUCUUUUCACCCAGGUAGUGAGCAUAGUACCCAAUCAGUAGUUUUUUAACCCUUUCUCCCCUCCCCCCUUCCCCUCUAGUAGUUUCCAGCAUAUGUUGUUCUCAUCUUUAUGUCCAUGUGUACCUAAUGCUUAGCUCCCACUUAUAAGUGGGGACAUGUGGUAUCUGGUUUUCUGUUCCUGCAUUAAUUCACUUAGGGUAAUGGCCUCCAGCUGUAUCUACAUUGCUGCAGUCAACAUGAUUUUAUUAUUUUUUGUGGCUACAUAAUAUUCCAUGGUGUAUAUGUACCACAUUUUCUUUAUCCAGACCACCGUUGAUGGACACCUGGGCUGAUUUCAUCACUUUACUAUUGCAAAUAGUGCUGCAAUAAACAUACAAGUGCAUGUGUCUCUUUGAUAGAAUGAUUUCUUUUCUUUUGGAUACAUACCUAGUAAUGAAUUGCUGUGUUGAAUGGUAGUUCUGCUUUAAGUUCUUUGAGACAUCUCCAAACUGCUUUCCACAUUGGUCUGCUUAUCAAGUGAUGACUUUUCUUAUUUUUUAAUCUUGGACCAGAGCCUAGAGAUAGAACAUUUUCUCUCUUUUUUUCUCAUUGCUUUUUCUAGACCCUUUCUUCUUCCCUAAAUACCAUUUCCUUUGAGAUGCAUGCUGUCAGCACAACUUCUCUUUGAUACAGUCAUCUAUUAAUGUUCGAGCCACUCCACAUCCCAUUUUUUGACAGUUUAAACAGCUCAAUAGGUCUCUCACAUAGUCACAUGUUUAUUAAUUGGGGAAUAUUCUGUAUCUACAAGAAUGAUCCAUCCAACCUGUUGACAUCUCACAUUCUUUCUUCUCCCCCUUCCAAGGGUCAUUUUCCUCCACAGUGCCUGUUUAACCAUCUAUUUCUGUGAUAUUACCCCAGAAUUCUAAGCUCAUUCCCAUUCCUUUCAUUUAUAUGGGAUAUUUUCUCCAGACCUCUCAUGACGUGUUCUUUCAAUUAUUCAGGCCUCUGUUAAAAUGAAACUUCCUUAGAAAGCCUUUUGAAGUAUCCUAAGAUAACCAUCCUAUCCUAACUCUCUUUCCUCCCUUUCUCUCAUACUGCUUCAUUUCUUCCCUAUACCUUUUAUUAGCAUCUUGACCAUACAUUAUAGAGGAGAACGUUUCCUGUCUCUUCCUAUAAUGUAUGUCCAUAAGAUAGGAUUUUAUCUGCUUGUUCACCACCAUGUUCCUUGCACCGAAACACUGUCAAUUCAUAUUAGACUCUACAUAGGUAUUGAGAAUGAAAUAAUGAAUAGAUUAUGUGUGUUUAUAGCUAUGUACCAAUUUACCAUGAACACUUUCAGGCCAUUAAUGAAUUAUCACCCCAUCUCAAUCCUCAUACGGUAACUUUUCUAUAUUAAGAGCAUUCCUGGGAAUAAUUUCCAUCAGAAUUUUUAUAAUUCCCCACUUGAAAUUUUUCUGAAGUGUUCUAAUUAAUCCAAUAACAUUCAUAGCUUAUGCUGAAUUGCUGUGUAGAUUCCUCUUGGGAGGAAUUUUGAAACAGGCAGGCCAGCUCUUUAUAAUAUUUCUAGCAUAAGUUUUGAUAAUUCUUUUGCUGCUGGAUGAGUAAAAUUGCAUUGUUAUCAAAGGUGAGGGAACAUGGGUCAUUCUUGUGAAUAAGAAGAUUUAUUGCUUGCUUAAUUUUCGAGGAAAUACCUUUAGCUCCUUCUUAAACUAUGGGUCUAUGCGUCAGUAGCUUUUCCUGUGUUUAUGUAGCAGCUUUAUUCAUAGGCCUGAUGUUUAGCCUCUUCUGGGGAGUUCUGAGAUUCUGCAUCAGAAAAACGCUCUGCUUUGUGUACAAAGAUGAUCUGUUGACCUGCCACCACAAGGCUCUUGCUGGGCUGUUUCACUGAGGUGGGAAUGUCUUAAAAUGGUUUUCUAAGGCAUUAAUAAUUCUUUUCUGAUUUUUCUUGUGAUCAGUGGCCUGAAUUUGCAAUAUGUCUGGCAGUACCCAAAGACACAGACCAAUGCUGAAAAAAAAAAAAGACUUCCCCUUCUGCAAACCUAGUUAAACUUCAUAUAGACUUCAGCCUCAUUAACUCCUUUUUUUUUUCUAAGCAAUUCUGUAGCACACUCUUAAGAUUAAGAUUAAGAUGCACCGAGUCCAGGAGUUUGAGACCAGGCUGGCUAAUGUAGUGGGACAUCAUCUCUAAAACAAACAAACAAAAAAACACAAAAAACAAAAAACAAAUUAGUCAGGCAUGGUGGCAUGUGCCUGUAGUCACAGCUACCUGGGAGGCUGAGGUGGGAGGAUCACUUGAGCCCUGGAGGUUGAGGAUGAAGUGAGCCAUGAUCAUGCUACUACACUUUAGCCUGGAUGGUGGAGUGAGAUCAUGUCUCAGAAGAAAAGAUAAAACAAUAAAAAAUAAAAAAUAAAAAGCUCCAGUGAAGGCCUUCCCUAAGGUAACCUCCUCUGAAACUUAAUUUUAUAUUUUCACAAAACCAUAAGGUCUCUGAACUUGAGUAGGAAGGCUUCUUCCUAUACUUUGUCAUAGUUCAUAUUCAACAAAUGCUAAAGAAUUAAGUACAUAAAGAAAAAAAAUUGGAGGUGAAGAGAGAAUGCAUUGUUUUUUCUUCACUGAGAGAGAAUCUUUUUAUGUUCUUUGAGAACUUCCUUGGUAGAAGUUUAAAAAGUUCCAACUGGGAACCUCUCUGCCUUAAACAAGAAUCACUGGCCUGGUGAGUCAGGUAAGAUAUUGAUAGCACAAAUUUCCAUGCAAAUGUGAAGGGGAAAUGCAUGCAUAUUAGCACCCCUCCAUGAUUAUUCUGAAAAAAAGAGAGAAUGACUCACUGAAGCAGAGAGAGCAAAAAAGAGCUAAGUGGGUUAUGUUUUGGUUAGAAACUGUUUGGUAUUAAAUAUGAGAAAUAUAAGAAUAUAGAAUUUAUUAAAAACAAUUCUUGUGAAGUCUGUAUGGUUUUCUUCAUUUUCCUAAGAGUAUGUACUAAUAAUAGAAAUUAUUUUCAGACUUUUUUUGAUUAUUGUUAUUUUAUUGAAUAUAUGUUUGUAUCCUGUGGGGCCCUGUUUCACGUGGCUUGCCUAUUGUGACUCAUCACUGAUGUGAUGGGAGGACCACGUAGGCUGGCUCUGGAUGUUCCAGUAAUCAGAGAAGACUUCCUGGAAGGGACGGUAUUUUACCCAGGCCUUGAAGGAUGGGUGGACUAUGAAUCAUUAGAGAUGACAGACAGAGUUUCCAGAUGGAACCAAUGAUUAAAGUGACCAAGAAGGUGCUGGAAGGAAACAUGCAGACAUCCCAAGGAUCCACGAUGGCAGAAUCCAUUUUCAUGUUCAGGCAAGGGCACCCUCCUAAGGCAAUUACUCUUAGGACAGUAUAUUUGUUAGGGUUAGCUAGAGAAACAGAACCAAUAAGAUGAGAUAGAUAGAUAGAUAGAUAGAUAGAUAGAUAGAUAGAUAGAUAGAUAGAGCGAGCGAGCUAGAUAAUAGAUAUUUAAAGGAAUUGGCUCAUACAAUUGUGGAGGCUUGGUAAGUUCAAAAUCUGCAACUCUAUGUUAGUUUGCUAGGGUUGCCAUAACAAAAUAUGACAGUCUGGGUGCCUUAAACAACAGAAAUUUAGAAAUUUAUUUUCUCACAUUUGUAGGGGCUAGAAGUCCAAGAUCAAGCUGUCAGCAGGUUUUUUUUUUUCUUUUUCCUGAGGACUCUCUCUUUGGUUUGCAGAUAUCUGUCUUCUCACUCUGUACUCACAUGGGCUUUUCUGUGUGUGUGUGUGUGUGUGUGUGUGUGUGUGCGCGCGCGCGCGCAUGCACGUGCGUGCCUGCAUCCCUGGGCAUCUCUUUGUAUGUCCAAAUUUCCUCUUCUUGGAUGAACAGCAGUAAGAUUGAGUAAGGAACCAUACCAGUGGCUUCAUUUUAACUUAAUCACCUUUUAAAGACCUUGUUUUCAAAUACAGUUUCAUUCUAAACUACUGGGGUUUAGGGCUUCAGUGUACAAACUUUGGGGGGAACACAAUGAAGCCCAUAACAGAUAGGACCUGAUGGGUAAGUAAGGUUUGCACUGGUGUGUUCUGACAGUGAGACUCAUCACAGGCACAUUCUCUGUGGGCACUCAGGAUGCAUUCUGUCUGGUCAAAGUGCAGCAUUCACUGUGAUGAUGAGCUCCUGGUGAAUCUAUCCAAGGUACAAAGGAGAUGUGGAAAGAAGGUCCCUUUUUCCCAGAGAGAACAAAAUCUUAAAAUGCCCUCCAGCCUCUGGCUAGUGCAAACCUGUUGAAGUUAUUUUAACCCAUAUAUUUCUAAAAUGAGCUUAGGAGAUAAGGAUCAUUGUUGCCCCUGCCUUGGCAAUGAGGCAAGUCUAAUGGUUAAGUAACUCAUCCAACAUCAUAUAGCUAAUCAGGUGGGGAGCCAGGAUCUCUAACCACUACACAAGAAGGCUUGUCUCCAGGCCAGAGCUCAAGAUCAGCAGAGUAUGAGCAAGGAAGGGUGUGUGGUGAGAGAUGAAGCUGGAUAGGGGCCUUAUAGGAUUCUAGAAGGAAAUUGGGCUCUACCUUGAGUUCGGUGGGGAGGCUCUGAGAGAUUUAAGAGUGAGAACAAUAGGAUUAGAAAAGUCCUCUGACUGCUAUUUGAAGAAUAGAUUAUUUAAGGACAAGAAUGCAAAGCAGGAUACCAAGGAGGAGGUUUCCACAGUUUUCUAAUAAGAGAGGACAUUGACUUGGACUAGGCUUAAGACAGUAGAGAUAGGAAUAAGUAAAAAUUCCAGGUGUAUUUUGAAGAUGGAAGAAACAAGACCUCGUAAUUAAUUAGAUAUUGAGAGAUAAAUCUUUAAAGAGCUAUGAUGAUAUGAUUAAUUGCAUAUAAUAUUCAAUUAUAUAUUAUUAAGCAAAAUACUUUUAAAUUAGAAAACGUCAUUAUAAUGACAAAUAAUUUAAGACAGGCUGAAUAUAUUUCUUUUGUCUAAAUAAAAUGCUCUGCUGUCAGUUUGUCUCCUUUGCCUCCACUCCCCAUCCCCCAUUAAGAAAAAUGCUAAAGAAAAUGUGCUACACAAAAGUCAGAUUACAGCAAAGUCUAGGGUAAUUGGCUCAUACUCCAGUUCAGUUCCCAUAGUUUCUGUGCAUGUACCUUUUUUUAAACAUCUACAGUAUGUGGAGAUAUAAAAUGAGUCCAUUUACAGUGACACAUUUAGCUCUAAGAUGUGUUAUCCUAGCCAAUAUGUUCAUAGAUGAACUGCCUUUUUGUAAAGUGUGUUUUCUUUAUUACUGUGAAAAAGAGGUUU